UCUCCGUUCGUCUAGUGGACUAGGACACUGCCCUUUCACGGCGGUAACAUGGAUUCGAAUUCCAUACGGAGAA
rnacentral:tRNA from 1 species